UUCCGGUUGAUCCUGCCGGACCCCACUGCUAUCGGGAUGGGACUAAGACAUGCUAGUCGUGCGCCUCCAAGCCACGGUGGAGGCGCGGCGCACAGCUCAGUAACACGUGGCUAACCUACCCUUGGGACGGAAACAACCCCGGGAAACUGGGGCUAAUUUCCGAUAGGUGAAGACUCCUGGAAUGGACCUUCGCCAAAAGGGCGCUUAGACCAUGCUUCUAAGCGCUGCCCAAGGAUGGGGCCGCGGCCGAUCAGGUUGUUGGUGAGGUAACGGCUCACCAAGCCUAUAACCGGUUCGGGCCGUGGGAGCGGGAGCCCGGAGAUGGGCACUGAGACAAGGGCCCAGGCCCUACGGGGCGCAGCAGUCGCGAAAACUCCGCAAUACGCGAAGGCGUGACGGGGCCAUCCCGAGUGCCGUCCGCUGAGGAUGGCUUUUCCCCAGUGUAGAUAGCUGGGGGAAUAAGGAGAGGGCAAGUCUGGUGUCAGCCGCCGCGGUAAUACCAGCUCUCCGAGUGGUGGGGACGUUUAUUGGGCUUAAAGCAUCCGUAGCCGGCUGGGCAAGUCCCCUGUUAAAUCUAACGAUUCAAUCGUUGGAUUGCGGGGGAUACUGCUCGGCUAGGGGGCGGGAGAGGCCGACGGUAUUCCCGGGGUAGGGGUGAAGUCCUAUAAUCCCGGGAGGACCACCAGUGGCGAAGGCUGUCGGCUAGAACGCGCCCGACGGUGAGGGAUGAAAGCUUGGGGGAGCGAACCGGAUUAGAUACCCGGGUAGUCCCAGCUGUAACGAUGCAGGCUAGUGUUUCGGGCGGCCACGUGCCGCUCGAGUGCCGCAAGGAAACCGUUUA
rnacentral:rRNA from 1 species